UACGUAGGGGGCAAGCGUUAUCCGGAUUUACUGGGUGUAAAGGGAGCGUAGACGGCAUGGCAAGCCAGAUGUGAAAGUCCGGGGCUCAACCCCGGGACUGCAUUUGGAACUGUCAGGCUAGAGUGUCGGAGAGGAAAGCGGAAUUCCUAGUGUAGCGGUGAAAUGCGUAGAUAUUAGGAGGAACACCAGUGGCGAAGGCGGCUUUCUGGACGAUGACUGACGUUGAGGCUCGAAAGCGUGGGGAGCAAACAGG
rnacentral:rRNA from 1 species